rnacentral:rRNA from 1 species
AGUCGAACGGAAGUCGUUACGAAAUGGAAUGAAGAUUUAUCUGAUUGAAGUUUUGUAACAAUGGCUUUAGUGGCGGACUGGUGAGUAACACGUAAGCAAUCUACCUAUUAGAGGGGAAUAACAAUGAGAAGUCAUUGCUAAUACCGCAUAAGCUUGUAGUACCGCAUGGUACAGCAAGAAAAGGAGCAAUCCGCUAAUAGAUGAGCUUGCGGCUGAUUAGCUAGUUGGUGUGGUAACGGCAUACCAAGGCAACGAUCAGUAGCCGGGCUGAGAGGCUCUUCGGCCACAUUGGGACUGAGAUACGGCCCAGACUCCUACGGGAGGCAGCAGUCGGGAAUUUUGCGCAAUGGAGGAAACUCUGACGCAGUGACGCCGCGUAUAGGAAGAAGGUUUUCGGAUUGUAAACUAUUUUAGUCAGGGAAGAAAAAUGACAGUACCUGAAGAAUAAGCUCCGGCUAACUACGUGCCAGCAGCCGCGGUAAUACGUAGGGAGCAAGCGUUAUCCGGAUUUAUUGGGUGUAAAGGGUGCGUAGACGGGAAGACAAGUUGGUUGUGAAAGCCCUCGGCUCAACUGAGGAACUGCAACCAAAACUAUCAUUCUUGAGUGCGGGAGAGGAAAGUGGAAUUCCUAGUGUAGCGGUGAAAUGCGUAGAUAUUAGGAGGAACACCAGUGGCGAAGGCGACUUUCUGGACCGUAACUGACGUUGAGGCACGAAAGUGUGG